rnacentral:rRNA from 1 species
CGGACGGGUGAGUAAUGUCUGGGAAACUGCCCGAUGGAGGGGGAUAACUACUGGAACCGGUAGCUAAUACCGCAUAACGUCGCAAGACCAAAGAGGGGGACCUUCGGGCCUCUUGCCAUCGGAUGUGCCCAGAUGGGAUUAGCUAGUAGGUGGGGUAACGGCUCACCUAGGCGACGAUCCCUAGCUGGUCUGAGAGGAUGACCAGCCACACUGGAACUGAGACACGGUCCAG